GACGAACGCUGGCGGCGUGCCUAAUACAUGCAAGUCGAACGCAGUGGGGACUGGUGAGUAACACGUGGGUAACCUCCCAUCAGAGGGGAUAACACUUGGAAACAGGUGCUAAACCGAUACUGAUGGAUGGACCCCCGGUGCAUUAGCUAGUUGGUGAGGUAACGGCUCACCAAGGCCACGAUGCAUACCGAACCGGAUAGGUAGAUCGGCAACAAUGGGAGUAAGACAAGGACAAGACUGCUAAGGGAGGCAGCAGUAGGGAAUGUUAGGCAAUGGACGAAAGGCUGACCGAGAAACGCCGCGUGAGUGAAGAAGGUUUUAGAAUCGUAAAGCUCUGUUGUUAGAGAAGCGGGAUCUAACCAGAAAGCCACGGCUAACUACGUGCCAGCAGCCGCGGUAAUUG
rnacentral:rRNA from 1 species